CAAUAGCGUAUAUUAAAGUUGUUGCGGUUAAAAAGCUCGUAGUUGGAUUUCUGCCGAGGACGACCGGUCCGCCCUCUGGGUGAGUAUCUGGUUCGGCCUGGGCAUCUUCUUGGAGAACGUAUCUGCACUUGACUGUGUGGUGCGGUAUCCAGGACUUUUACUUUGAGGAAAUUAGAGUGUUUCAAGCAGGCACACGCCUUGAAUACAUUAGCAUGGAAUAAUAAGAUAGGACCUUGGUUCUAUUUUGUUGGUUUCUAGAGCUGAGGUAAUGAUUAAUAGGGAUAGUUGGGGGUGCUCGUAUUGCUGGGCCAGAGGUGAAAUUCUCGGAUUCUAGUAAGACGAACUUUUGCGAAAGCAUUCACCAAGGAUGUCUUCUUUAAUCAAGAACGAAAGUUGGGGGAUCGAAGACGAUUAGAUACCAU
rnacentral:rRNA from 1 species